rnacentral:rRNA from 1 species
UGAACGCUGGCGGCAUGCCUUACACAUGCAAGUCGAACGGCAGCACGGGUGCUUGCACCUGGUGGCGAGUGGCGAACGGGUGAGUAAUACAUCGGAACAUGUCCUGUAGUGGGGGAUAGCCCGGCGAAAGCCGGAUUAAUACCGCAUACGAUCUACGGAUGAAAGCGGGGGACCUUCGGGCCUCGCGCUAUAGGGUUGGCCGAUGGCUGAUUAGCUAGUUGGUGGGGUAAAGGCCUACCAAGGCGACGAUCAGUAGCUGGUCUGAGAGGACGACCAGCCACACUGGGACUGAGACACGGCCCAGACUCCUACGGGAGGCAGCAGUGGGGAAUUUUGGACAAUGGGCGAAAGCCUGAUCCAGCAAUGCCGCGUGUGUGAAGAAGGCCUUCGGGUUGUAAAGCACUUUUGUCCGGAAAGAAAUCCUUGGCUCUAAUACAGUCGGGGGAUGACGGUACCGGAAGAAUAAGCACCGGCUAACUACGUGCCAGCAGCCGCGGUAAUACGUAGGGUGCGAGCGUUAAUCGGAAUUACUGGGCGUAAAGCGUGCGCAGGCGGUUUGCUAAGACCGAUGUGAAAUCCCCGGGCUCAACCUGGGAACUGCAUUGGUGACUGGCAGGCUAGAGUAUGGCAGAGGGGGGUAGAAUUCCACGUGUAGCAGUGAAAUGCGUAGAGAUGUGGAGGAAUACCGAUGGCGAAGGCAGCCCCCUGGGCCAAUACUGACGCUCAUGCACGAAAGCGUGGGGGAGCAAACAGGAUUAGAUACCCCUGGUAGUCCACGCCCUAAACGAUGUCAACUAGUUGUUGGGGAUUCAUUUCCUUAGUAACGUAGCUAACGCGUGAAGUUGACCGCCUGGGGAGUACGGUCGCAAGAUUAAAACUCAAAGGAAUUGACGGGGACCCGCACAAGCGGUGGAUGAUGUGGAUUAAUUCGAUGCAACGCGAAAAACCUUACCUACCCUUGACAUGGUCGGAAUCCCGCUGAGAGGUGGGAGUGCUCGAAAGAGAACCGGCGCACAGGUGCUGCAUGGCUGUCGUCAGCUCGUGUCGUGAGAUGUUGGGUUAAGUCCCGCAACGAGCGCAACCCUUGUCCUUAGUUGCUACGCAAGAGCACUCUAAGGAGACUGCCGGUGACAAACCGGAGGAAGGUGGGGAUGACGUCAAGUCCUCAUGGCCCUUAUGGGUAGGGCUUCACACGUCAUACAAUGGUCGGAACAGAGGGUUGCCAACCCGCGAGGGGGAGCUAAUCCCAGAAAACCGAUCGUAGUCCGGAUUGCACUCUGCAACUCGAGUGCAUGAAGCUGGAAUCGCUAGUAAUCGCGGAUCAGCAUGCCGCGGUGAAUACGUUCCCGGGUCUUGUACACACCGCC